rnacentral:rRNA from 1 species
UGGGGAAUUUUGGACACUGGGCGCAAGCCUGAUCCAGCCAUUCCGCGUGCAGGAUGAAGGCCCUCGGGUUGUAAACUGCUUUUGUACGGAACGAACAGGCCUGAAUUAAUACCUCGGGCUCAUGACGGUACCGUAAGAAUAAGCACCGGCUAACUACGUGCCAGCAGACGCGGUAAUACGUAGGGUGCAAGCGUUAAUCGGAAUUACUGGGCGUAAAGUGUGCGCAGGCGGCAGAGCAAGUCGAGUGUGAAAGCCCCGGGCUUAACUUGGGAAUUGCGCUCGAAACUACUUUGCUGGAGUGUGGCAGAGGAAGGUGGAAUUCCACGUGUAGCGGUGAAAUACGUAGAGAUGUGGAGGAACACCAAUGGCGAAGGCAGCCUUCUGGGCCAACACUGACGCUCAUGCACGAAAGCGUGGGGAGCAAAC